GCUCGGACCGGCCCAGGCCCUGGGCGGAGCUGACUGCUGGCCAGCGGAGCUGACCUUCCGGGAUCAGGUCUCUGAGGUCUCGCUGCAAAGCGCCCCCUGUGAGCAGCUGCCACGAAGUCCUCGCAGGUGUCUCCUGAGUCGGCCCCAGAACCUGCUGUAAUCCAACACCGAGGAGGCUGAGGCAAGAGGGUCGCCAAGAGUGCCAGGCCAGCCCGCCCUCCAUAAAGUGGUUCCCUGGCCAUCGCAGACAAGAGGAGCCCAGCGAGCCUGGACCAGAACAGUGUGCCUCUUGCUUCCUUCCUUUGAGACUUCUCACCGUUCCGUUUACCCCCAUGUCCCAGCCGCACCAGGUGCUGUAUGAACAACAGAACAUAUACCAAGCAACUAGCCAAUUCUGCCAUGUGUCCUACCUACUUCUGAAAACUGUCUGUUAAGCCAUCAAAGGUCAUAUACCACAUGUUCUUUCUUCAGUCACAUCAUGGAAGCCUCAGUGACUAAGUUUCUUACAGAGGGUAAACACUGGCAGCUGACACAUCUGGCCAUGUGACACCUCUGCUAUCAAAACCCAAGAUACAAGCAAGUGGCAGUACACAACUAUGAAUUCCACUUUGUGACGAGGAGGCUUGACACCAAUGAUGCAAUUUAUUGCAGCUCUUCUGUGAAAAUGAUAUGCCGGCACUCAUUAUUCUAUUCAUAUCUUUGCUUAAAGAGUGGAAUUGUAACUCAAGUUUAAAUUUAGAAAGUGCAAAGCACACAGAAGUAGCGUUUACCUCCCAGGUGGCUUGACCCUGAAUUUUAGGAUCUCAUCUGCAAGGCAAUGCAAUUACAGGCUGUAAUGAUGAAGUCACUGUGUACAUGGAAGCUCUUGGAAGUGCUACCUCCCACAUACAUUUAACCAUGGGAUGACCAGGGUAAAGCCUUCAAGUUAUGACAUUUGUACAUUUCCCUUGGAAAUGAACUUCAAAGCAAAAGAUGUGAGUUUAUCUCUCUAAAAGGUACCCAUGGAUCACUGCCGCACUAUGUGCAUAAAGAACAUACUUUUGCUGAUUUAUAGCUCUGCAUUCACCACAAAGACCACUGCUUCUUAGCCACAUCCUAUUAGAAGUGAUACUUGCACCCAUCUGUAGUCUGAAAUUUCCUCAGAGGAGACAGUCUGGGCCAAUCUGUCUUCUAUUUAGAAAUUGUAAUCAAAUCCUUUGUAACACACCAAGCAGCAAUACAUCAGCCUUCCUCUUUAUGGACAAGCAGAGAUUACAAAUAGAGAAAAGUUCAGUAAGUUUCCCAAAUCUAACUCCAUCACCAAUGCCAAUAAAUAUGAUACCGAUAGAUUCAUUGAAAAGAAUAUUCCCUCACAGCAGGAAAUUAGACAAUGCCAGGUAACAUUAAAACACAGCCAUUUCUGAGUUGGAAGGCCGUCUCUAAUUUGCUCACUAAUAACUGAGGAUAGUGCUAGCCAAGGGCAGGAGAAUGUUAAAAACUGCUGUUAGUUGCUUAUCUGGGGUGUCUGUUAUCAGAGAGCAGAUGCAUCAAGAAGUUAAUUGUCAAGGUUAACUACAGGUUAUUCAGUUUACUAUCCUAGACUUUAGAACAUCAAGGUGAACCUGUUAAGAUCAUAAACAGCAUCCAACCUUGAUUCCUAAUUGUUUUUUUUUUUUGGUACCGGGGAUUGAACUCAGGACCUUACUUGCCAGGCAGGCACUGUGCUGCUGAGCUAAAUCCCCCGCCCCCUAAUUGCUUUUGCUCCUUCCUCUCCAUGGGCAACCCUUCCUACUGUUUUCCCAUUCCAUUAAACUACAGCAAGAAAAAUGGUUUGGUACAUGCGCAUCUGACUCACUGUAUAAUAGUACUGCCUAUCACCAUGGUAGAAAAUGCUUCCAAAUCUAACACCUUUGCUAACUCACAUUUAGGAGUACUACGUGGGAGGCUAUCCACAGGAUAUGUACAAACACUAUGCAGCUGUACGGGAGAGACUGAUCCUCUGCUGAUUUUAGUAUAAACAAGAUGCAGUGGUGGUAUGCAGUGGGAGAUGGUGUGGGCUGGUGGUGGUCCUAUAGAACCAACUAUCUGAAGAUACCAAGAGAUGAUUUGGCCAAGACAGUUCAGAGGUUUCCAUCUCUUAUUGUAUCUUUACGUGCAAAGCAGUUCUAAAAUUACUAGUGAAACUUUAAAGCUAAGAAUUCACAGAAUCUGCUGGGUAUGGUAGUGCACGCCUGUACUCCCAGCACCCAGGAGGAUGAGGCAGAAGAAUUGCCUCAAGUUUGAGGACAACAUAGGCUACAGAGUAAGUCUGGGCAAACCUGGACUACAUAGCAAGACCCUGUUUCAAAAAACAAAAACAGGGACCAUGGAUUUGGCUC